GACCACCAUACAAAACACCCGGAAGAUUACAAGGCAUAUAAAGAAAAAAGGAAAGAGGUUAAAAUAGCGGUGAAAGCAAGAAAGGAAAGGUCAUGGGAGAUAUUUGGACAAAAAAUGACAAAAAA
rnacentral:lncRNA from 1 species